rnacentral:rRNA from 1 species
UACGAAGGGGGCUAGCGUUGCUCGGAAUCACUGGCGUAAAGCGCACGUAGGCGGAUUGCUAAGUCAGGGGUGAAAUCCUGGAGCUCAACUCCAGAACUGCCUUUGAUACUGGCGAUCUUGAGUCCGGGAGAGGUGAGUGGAACUGCGAGUGUAGAGGUGAAAAUUCGUAGAUAUUCGCAAGAACACCAGUGGCGAAGGCGGCUCACUGGCCCGGUACUG